UACGGAGGGAGCUAGCGUUGUUCGGAUAUACUGGGCGUAAAGCGCACGUAGGCGGCGCAGCAAGUCAGGGGUGAAAUCCCGGAGCUCAACUCCGGAACUGCCUUUGAAACUGCAGUGCUAGAAUUCUGGAGAGGCGAGUGGAAUUCCGAGUGUAGAGGUGAAAUUCGUAGAUAUUCGGAAGAACACCAGUGGCGAAGGCGACGCGCUGGACAGACAUGGACGCUGAGGUGCGAAAGCGUGGGGAGCAAACAGG
rnacentral:rRNA from 1 species